CCCCCUACCAAAGCUGCUGCAACGAAGUGACUGCCUGCCAAUCCCAAAGCCCAUACAGACGCACCAAAAGCCCUCACUCGUGUCCCAGCCUCUUCUUCUUUCUUCCAAGUUCCAAGCCAACCCAAACCCGAAUCCCCCAACCCCGUCCGCCGGUCCAAGGGAAGACGAACCCUAACCUCCAAAUCCCCAACCUCGAUCGAUCGGCCGAACCCUAACCCCCACCACCCAAAUCCCCAGUCCCGGACGGCGACGAUGGCCGUCGGCAACCCCCGCCUCCCCGACUUCGUCCUCCUCGACGCCACCACUUACAUCAGCGAUCUCCGCGACGCAACCACCGCGUGGGCCUUGACGGCGGCGGGCCUCACCAUUCAGGUAUCCUUGGCGGUGGCCGCGCCUCUCCCACUUCUGCGUCUGCUGCCCCGGCCGCGACGAGACCCUCUUCGCCGACGCGCCCGAGGUCGUCUGCUCCGCGGGGGACCACGCCCUCAUCCAGGUCGGCUUCACCACCGGCGACUCGGAUGCGCACUUCAUCUACCGGGCCAGGGCGCCCGACGGCCGGCCGUCGCUUGACCUGAUCCCGGACUUUGAUGAUUAUUCCGACGCAAUGACUCUGAUGCUGCCCCUCGGUUUCGUCUCCCACCGCAAGCACUUGGUCAUAGCGGCUCUGAGCGACGGACCGACGGACUGGCAGUACUAUCUCCACACCCUCAGCUCCGAGCCGCAUUCCACAUGGUCCAAGAAGUUGCUGCAGGUGGAGCUCCCCCAUGGAUUAUCCAGGAAACCGUUUGUGAUCCUCCACGCCAAGGUGAUUGCCCUCGGAGGCGGGCUGCUGGGAUGGGUCGAUCUCUGGGAGGGCAUCCUGAUCUGCGACGUGCUCGAGCCUGGGGCCGCCGCGUUGCGCUUGGUUCCGAUGCCCAAUAUGCUGCCCAGCAACAAAAUCCUCUACGACAACCAUCCUUUUGGUCAGGUGAUUCGGGACGUCACCUUCAGCCGUGGCUACAUCAGGUGCGUCGAGUUUGAGGAGCUGGUAGAACGUAGAAACGUGCCGGCUGUUACUGAUCCCUUUGACAUGGUCGAGCUCCAAGACUCGGAAUGGGCCUUGGAUCCGCCCCAGAAGGUGGAAAACGUUAUCGUUGGUUGGAGGCUCAUCACAUGGUAUAGGACAUUGACUUGGAACUGUUGGCGCAAGGGGAACAGGGUUCAUUCUGAUGAUCUUGGUAUCGUCUCCCUGCCUCAGAUUGGAAGUGGUGGUGCCUCUGUUCUAAAAGUGCCGCUCAAGGUUCUGAAAACAGCUGCUCCUACUCUGCACAGCGACGGCGAUGCUGUUUACCUCGUGUCCUCGCUGCGUGAGCAGGAACAAACUGCAUGGAUUAUCGCUGUUGACACUAGAACGAAGUCGGUGGGAGAGCUUGUGCCAUUCUCUGCAGAGGAGAUGGAUUUUUACGGUCCGAACUACAUUCCAUAUGUGCUGACCUGAUAUAUGGAUGAUAAAUUAGGUGGCUAUAUGCUGUCACUGUUAUCAUAUCUUUUGAGUAGCAAGUGCUCGUGUAUCUGAUGACUUUCUGCUCUCUUUGUACUAGCUGGAGCUCAGGUACAUAUACAAAAUGCUUAUUAUCCCACCCUAUGGAACUUUGAUGGGUCCGAGAAGAAGCAACAGUGACUUCCACAGACAGAAUCUGAAGUCUGAAGUGUUGAUUAUAUACAAGUCAUGGACUUUUAGGAUUAGUGAAAGCUUCAGAUUUCUUGUUUGAGUAACUAUCAAACUAGAAGAUAACACAAUGGGGAUUAUUGUAGCCCAGCAGAACGCAAUCAUCCUUUGAUGGUGUCAGUUGUGCAUGCCGCCACAGCCUUCAUCGCCUUCGGUGACGCUGAUUCUUCUCCAGUCUUGGUUGAGUAGUUUGUUUUUGCGAAGGGGACCUGCUUUUGUUGUUAGUUUCCUGGGAGUGUUUACCUUUUAGACUCGAACUUCUUGUGUUAAUGUUUCUUUCAGAGUAUGCUGUUAGCUUUGCACUAACUUGUAAACUGGGAUCAGCGUACUCAUGUAAAUUCUGUUGUGUUCAAAAUAAUAGUGAUGUUGCCAUGAUGAA